rnacentral:lncRNA from 7 species
CAUCAGCGACGGAUCCAAGACGGGAUCCAGACUGCUUUCUCUCUCAAUCCAGCACGCUGCCUCCCGCACUGCUUUCCCCUGGAGCAUCCUUGAGCCUGGCCAGAAGAAGUCAGAGCUCCUUUCCUCUCUGCUGCAGCCACCUGCCCUGACAAGUGGCCUGUCCUCGGGGAAGCGGCAUCGUUUCCUAUCAUUAGUGAUGCGGGGCACGGGAAGCUGUGUCCACUCAGCUUUGUCUCUUGCUGGGUGCACACUGGCCGAGGCCGGUGGCAGCUCAUGCGUCCCCUGGAGCUGCCUUGAAACCCAGUGAUGGGUAAAGAAACCCCAUCCAGCUGCUCUUCUCUGUGCCUGCGAGUGCCUCAGCACGGUGAAUAGCAACGGAAGAGCUCAGGAGAAACAAGCAUGAGUGGUAGAAAUAAGCAGCAUCAAGAGAUCCAGCAAGCGAAGGAUGAAAAAUCAGAGUAACGGCCAAGGAGACGACAUCCACUUGACUUCUCUUGCCCGUGGUGUGAGCAAUUAAUCCAGCUAAGGCAUGGCAGUGGAGUGAGGCCAGGAACAGCAGGAGGACGGCGCUGCACCGGCAGCAGCAAGCACGACAGGUCUGGGAAGGGCCAUCUGCCGCUGUGAUUAAUGGCCCUUUUCUGGAAAAACAACAGAGACAAAUGUCCUUCUGAGCACGGCAGAGAGAAGCGGAGAAGCAAGCUGGCUAAUUUUCAGCCAUUAUUUUGGAACCCCAACUCCUUCCCGCGGGACCGGACAUCUUCCUCUGCCACGCUGCCCCGACCUUUGUGGUGAGGUUGUGCAUGGAGAAAUGUGCUGAACCACCCCGUUGCCAUGGAAACCAAGGCCGAGAGGGGACCAGCCUGCUCCUGCUAAUUGCUGUGGCUUUGUGACCCCAUCCGUCCAUCCUGCUGCCUCCCGUGAGCCUGUCCGAAUGCACAGCGCUGGCCCCAUCCUGCAUCAUCCUGCCCUUUGGCUCCCAGCCCCAAUGCUGUGAGCAGGAUCUGGGGUUCCUCUUUCUCUCCUUUGUGUUGUCACAACCUGCACAAGAUCAGUUAAAAUCCGUGGCUUGAGCAUCCCUGCAGCCCAUCACCCCGUGCGUGCACAUCUGCCUGCAUGCUUGUUGCAGGAGCACGGUGGCGGUGCAGUGAUGCACCUCCCUUGCCCUGCAUCCCGGGCUGCCCUGCCUUUAUCUCGUCCAAUUAAAUAACUGCAGAUAGUGGGCUUAAUAAGGCCCUGCUAUGAAAGAUUACUGACGAUUUCUUUCCCAACGUGCGGUGAAUUAGGAGGCAGUGAGCAGGGAAAGGACUGCUGCUAAUUACAGUCCCCCAUGUCCCCUCUGCUGCCACCACUGCUGCUGGGCCCCUCGCUGCUCCCUGCACCUGAUUGCAUUUUGCUGCUGGUUGUGGCCAAUUUGCAGCUCUCAGCUGCUGCUGCUUCUCCCUUCCCCCCACGCCCCCUGCUCCUCUUCGAGUUUAUUAAUGAAAACCUUAUCUGUCGGUGCAGAUAAUGCCAGAAAUAAUUAGUGCACACGGAGGGCUGGCAGGCUGCUCUCUGCUCCCACCACCCACACCCUCUCCUCUCACUGUUUACAGUUUCCUGUGCUGCUUGGGGCUGCUUUUUGGGUUUUUAAGCCUCCUUGCUCUGUACAGAUUUAUUUGCUUCUCUUUCUCUCCAAGUUUUCCUUGCUCAGAAAGAGACAGACAGACCUGAGGCACAGAUGCAUCCUAAAGAGCUUGACCUUAAACACCUGGGCUGCAGGUGCCCUGACCUUAUGGCUGCUGGAAAUGGGGAGCUGCCCCCCAAUGCCCAAGAGCAGGGAUUGCAUUUGCUCCUGGCAUGCUCUGGUCAGGUCAUGGCCCUGCUCCUGCUGCGCCAGCGCCGUCCUCGCUUUGCUCGUGCUCCCUUUCAUUACACUUAGCAUCAUUGUCUCUUGGCUUAAAUCUUUCAGCCUGAUAAAGGACGACAGCGCUGCUCGAGUGCCUGGGAUGGCAUAAAUAAUUCCAGUGCUGAGAGAGAUUUACAGCUAUAUAAAUGUCAGGAGUGAGCCCAGUUUGUAUUAAUGGCCUUAUUAGUUACAUUGCUGUAAAAUACAGAUCCUCCAAUUGUUAAGCGGCCGUGGUUUUGGUCCACAGCAUUAAUCCAAUAAAUUUGGGCUUCUC